AUUGAACGCUGGCGGCAUGCUUUACACAUGCAAGUCGAACGGCAGCGCGGGCUUCGGCCUGGCGGCGAGUGGCGAACGGGUGAGUAAUGCAUCGGAACGUGCCCAGUAGUGGGGGAUAGCCCAGCGAAAGCCGGAUUAAUACCGCAUACGACCUGAGGGUGAAAGCGGGGGACCGAAAGGCCUCGCGCUAUUGGAGCGGCCGAUGUCGGAUUAGCUAGUUGGUGGGGUAAAGGCUUACCAAGGCGACGAUCCGUAGCUGGUCUGAGAGGACGACCAGCCACACUGGGACUGAGACACGGCCCAGACUCCUACGGGAGGCAGCAGUGGGGAAUUUUGGACAAUGGGGGCGACCCUGAUCCAGCCAUGCCGCGUGCGGGAAGAAGGCCUUCGGGUUGUAAACCGCUUUUGUUCGGGAAGAAAUCCUCUGGGCUAAUACCCCGGGGGGAUGACGGUACCGGAAGAAUAAGCACCGGCUAACUACGUG
rnacentral:rRNA from 1 species